UACGGAGGGGGCUAGCGUUGUUCGGAAUUACUGGGCGUAAAGCGCACGUAGGCGGCUUUGUAAGUUAGAGGUGAAAGCCCAGGGCUUAACCCUGGAAUUGCCUUUAAGACUGCAUCGCUAGAAUCGUGGAGAGGUGAGUGGAAUUCCGAGUGUAGAGGUGAAAUUCGUAGAUAUUCGGAAGAACACCAGUGGCGAAGGCGACUCACUGGACACGUAUUGACGCUGAGGUGCGAAAGCGUGGGGAGCA
rnacentral:rRNA from 1 species